GACGAACGCUGGCGGCGUGCUUAACACAUGCAAGUCGAACGCUGAAGCUCAGCUUUUGUUGGGUGGAUGAGUGGCGAACGGGUGAGUAACACGUGAGUAACCUGCCUCCUUCUUUGGGAUAACGCCCGGAAACGGGUGCUAAUACUGUAUAUUCACUGAUCUUCGCAUGGGGGUUGGUGGAAAGGGUUUUUCGGGUGGGGGAUGGGCUCGCGGCCUAUCAGCUUGUUGGUGGGGUGAUGGCCUACCAAGGCUGUGGCGGGUAGCCGGGCUGAGGAGGUUACCGGUGACAUUGGGACGGGGCUAGGGCCCAGAGUGCUCCGGGAGGCAGCAGUGGGGAAUAUUGCACAAUGGGCGCAAGCAUGCUGCAGCGACGCCGCGUGAGGGAUGGAGGCCUUCGGGUUGUGAUCCUCUUGAGAUAAUGGUCAAGCCGCAACAAUGGUUGUGGUGAGGGUAGUGGGUAAAGAAGCGCCGGCUAACUACGUG
rnacentral:rRNA from 1 species